UACGGAGGGGGCUAGCGUUAUUCGGAAUUACUGGGCGUAAAGCGUGCGCAGGCGGCUUUGCAAGACAGAUGUGAAAUCCCCGGGCUUAACCUGGGAACUGCAUUUGUGACUGCAAGGCUGGAGUGCGGCAGAGGGGGAUGGAAUUCCGCGUGUAGCAGUGAAAUGCGUAGAUAUGCGGAGGAACACCGAUGGCGAAGGCAAUCCCCUGGGCCUGCACUGACGCUCAUGCACGAAAGCGUGGGGAGCAAACAGG
rnacentral:rRNA from 1 species